rnacentral:rRNA from 1 species
GACGAACGCUGGCGGCGUGCUUAACACAUGCAAGUCGAACGGAAAGGCCCUGCUUUUGUGGGGUGCUCGAGUGGCGAACGGGUGAGUAACACGUGAGUAACCUGCCCUUGACUUUGUGAUAACUUCAGGAAACUGGGGCUAAUACCGGAUAGGAGCUCCUGCUGCAUGGUGGGGGUUGGAAAGUUUCGGCGGUUGGGGAUGGACUCGCGGCUUAUCAGCUUGUUGGGGGGGUAGUGGCUUACCAAGGCUUUGACGGGUAGCCGGCCUGAGAGGGUGACCGGCCACAUUGGGACUGAGAUACGGCCCAGUCUCCUACGGGAGGCAGCAGUGGGGAAUAUUGCACAAUGGGCGGAAGCCUGAUGCAGCAACGCCGCGUGCGGGAUGACGGCCUUCGGGUUGUAAACCGCUUUCGCCUGUGACGAAGCGUGAGUGACGGUAAUGGGUAAAGAAGCACCGGCUAACUACGUG